rnacentral:piRNA from 1 species
UAGACUACAGAAAUAGAUUGG